UCUACGAGAUGAACGGCCAAGAUUUCAAAAGAUCGAGAUUUGGCCGGCCAAGAUUUCAAGAGAUCGAGAUUUGGCCAAGAUUUCUAAGGACGCGGAUGCGGUGUGGUCAUUACAUUCAAAUUGAUGUAGGUCUGAGUCGUGAUCAUUACGUUUGAUCUUCAUAGAGGAUCCAUUUAGCAAACUUUGCGAAGAAACCUACUUGAGGCCUUGAUGAGGAGUACAUUACAUUAAUACUGGAGGAUCUUCUCUCUAAGUUUCAUAUUAGAAAUAAGAAAAUAUUGACAAUGAAUGAAGAU